UGGCGGCCUUAGCGCGGUGGUCCCACCUGACCCCAUGCCGAACUCAGAAGUGAAACGCCGUAGCGCCGAUGGUAGUGUGGGG
rnacentral:rRNA from 3 species